rnacentral:rRNA from 1 species
AUUGAACGCUGGCGGCAGGCCUAACACAUGCAAGUCGAGCGAGCGGCGGACGGGUGAGUAAUGUCUGGGAAAAUGCCUGAUGGAGGGGGAUAAUUACUGGAAACGGUAGCUAAUACCGCAUACCAUCAGAUGUGCCCAUCUGGGAUUAGCUAGUAGGUGGGGUAACGGCUCACCUAGGCGACGAUCCCUAGCUGGUCUGAGAGGAUGACCAGCCACACUGGAACUGAGGCACGGUGCAGACUCCGACGCGAGGAAGCAGUGGAGAAUAUUGCGCAAUGGGCGCAAGCGGGAUGUAGCCAUGCGGCGUGUGUGAAGAAGGCCUUCGGGUUGUAAAGCGCUUUCAGCAGGGAGGCGGUACCAGAAGAAGAAGCACCGGCUAACUCCGUGCCAGCAGCCGCGGUAAUUC